UUUUUUUUUUAUUUUCUUAAGAAAAAGUAAACUCCCUGGUAACUAAUUAACUUAUAACUUAAGGCUGAGGAAAGACACCACCACCACCAGCACCUCCAAGUCCGGGGAGUCCACCUGCACCACCAAAUCCAGGGAGUCCACCGAAGCCGCCACCACCACCACCAAGUCCACCGGCACCACCUAGUCCUCCACCACCACCACCAAGUCCACCACCACCACCAAGUCCGGGGAGUCCACCACCACCACCAGCAUCACCAGCACCGCCGAUGCCUACACCUCCAAAAGGAAGUCCAUUGUUGCCAAUUCCUCCAAAACUACCGAUCCCACCAAUGUAAUUCUUUUCAUCCUUCAAACCAACUU
rnacentral:lncRNA from 1 species